CAGUCGCCGCGGUAACACGUAGGUGGCAAGCGUUGUCCGGAAUUAUUGGGCGUAAAGGGCUCGCAGGCGGUUUCUUAAGUCUGAUGUGAAAGCCCCCGGCUCAACCGGGGAGGGUCAUUGGAAACUGGGAAACUUGAGUGCAGAAGAGGAGAGUGGAAUUCCACGUAUAGCGGUGAAAUGCGUAGAGAUGUAGAGGAACACCAGUGGCGAAGGCGACCCUCUGGUCUGUAACUGACGCUGAGGAGCGAAAGCGUGGGGAGCGAACAGGAUUAGAGACCCCCGUAGUCCCUGUCUCUUAUAC
rnacentral:rRNA from 1 species